rnacentral:rRNA from 1 species
GACGAACGCUGGCGGCGUGCUUAACACAUGCAAGUCGAACGGAAAGGCCCUGCUUUUGUGGGGUGCUCGAGUGGCGAACGGGUGAGUAACACGUGAGUAACCUGCCCUUGACUUUGGGAUAACUUCAGGAAACUGGGGCUAAUACCGGAUAGGAGCUCCUGCUGCAUGGUGGGGGUUGGAAAGUUUCGGCGGUUGGGGAUGGACUCGCGGCUUAUCAGCUUGUUGGUGGGGUAGUGGCUUACCAAGGCUUUGACGGGUGGCCGGCCUGAGGGGGUGACCGGCAACAUUGGGACUGGGAUCCGGCCCAGACUCCUACGGGAGGCAGCAGUGGGGAAUAUUGCACAAUGGGCGGAAGCCUGAUGCAGCAACGCCGCGUGCGGGAUGACGGCCUUCGGGUUGUAACCCGUUUUCGCCUGUGACGAAGCGUGAGUGACGGUAAUGGGUAAAGAAGCACCGGCUAACUACGUG